UACAGAGGGUGCAAGCGUUGUUCGGAAUUAUUGGGCGUAAAGCGCGUGUAGGCGGCUUUGCAAGUCGGGUGUGAAAGCCCUCAGCUCAACUGAGGAAGUGCGCCCGAAACUGCAGAGCUUGAGUACCGGAGAGGAUGGCGGAAUUCCCCAAGUAGAGGUGAAAUUCGUAGAUAUGGGGAGGAACACCGGUGGCGAAGGCGGCCAUCUGGACGGAUACUGACGCUGAGACGCGAAAGCGUGGGUAGCAAACAGG
rnacentral:rRNA from 1 species